UUACAUUAACAAAAAGAACGAAUCAAUCAGAAAAAUAAUCCCUAAAUGACAAUACCUAUUAUUGAUAUCAUAUUAAACGUACUACAUAUUAUAGAUUUGCGAUUUUAUUUAUUUAAUACUAACAUUUAAAUAAGAUUCCCAAAUGUCAAAUAAAGCAUUCACAGAUGAUUUUUAAUUACUAUUCGCCUUCUCAAACACAUUACGUAAUGUCUAAUUAAAUGUAUUUUCUUUUUACAGAUUGAUGAUAUUACCAUUGAAUCUUCUUCAAGUUUGGAAAUUUUAAGAAGAGUUGCAGCGUUGGAGGCUGAAAAUAAGGAAAUUCGAAAUAUUGUUUCAAAUUUUGCUCAACUGUAUAAUGAUAUGCUGAAACGUAUUUCAAUUAUCGAAAAUAACAGAAUUUUAAAUUAAAAUAUAUUAGUGGCUUGAUACGAAUAAUCAUGAAAAAGUAAUAAUAAGCGAAAACCAAAUAUUUACAAAAUUGUAUGAAUUAUUGUCAACUCCAUUAUAUACUUGAUUUGUAUUUAUGAGACAAGAGCAAGAAUAUGACGCUAAUAACUGAUAUGUAUAACCUGAUGAGAUAAUAAAAAAAAAAAUUGACGAUAUUACCAUUGAAUCUUCUUCAAGUUUGGAAAUUUUAAGAAGAGUUGCAGCGUUGGAGGC